rnacentral:rRNA from 1 species
CCCUUAGAUGUCCUGGGCUGCACGCGCGCUACACUGAUGUGUCCAGUAAGCACCUAACCUAUUCCGAGAGGAGCGGGUAACCUUAGCAAAGCACAUCGUGAUGGGGAUAGAUUAUUGCAAUUAUUAGUCUUGAACGAGGAAUUCCUAGUAAGCACAAGUCAUCAGCUUGUGUUGAUUACGUCCCUGCCCUUUGUACACACCGCCCGUCGCUCCUACCGAUUGAAUGUUCCGGUGAGCUCUUCGGACUGCGCGGUCUGCAGUUUCUGCGUUCCGUGCGGAAAGUUGUGCAAACCUUACCAUUUAGAGGAAGGAGAAGUCGUAACA